GCCCAGGUGGCGAAAUUGGUAUACGCACCAUCUUGAGGGGGUGGCGUUCGAAAGGACAUACGAGUUCGAAUCUCGUUCUGGGCA
rnacentral:tRNA from 1 species